GGUCUCCUGGUGCUUACCACAGGCUGUGUUUUUCCACGACUGUAUAGGAAAAGGAGGCAAAAUAAACCUACCCAUAUACACCUCAAGAGGCCCUGUGCCUGGUCAGAAUUGUGCAUGGAGAGACAUAU
rnacentral:snoRNA from 1 species